rnacentral:rRNA from 1 species
UGGGGAAUAUUGGACAAUGGGCGAAAGCCUGAUCCAGCCAUGCCGCGUGUGUGAAGAAGGUCUUCGGAUUGUAAAGCACUUUAAGUUGGGAGGAAGGGAGUAAGCGAAUACCUUGCUGUUUUGACGUUACCGACAGAAUAAGCACCGGCUAACUCUGUGCCAGCAGCCGCGGUAAUACAGAGGGUGCAAGCGUUAAUCGGAAUUACUGGGCGUAAAGCGCGCGUAGGUGGUUCGUUAAGUUGAAUGUGAAAGCCCCGGGCUCAACCUGGGAACUGCAUCCAAAACUGGCGAGCUAGAGUAGGGCAGAGAGUGGUGGAAUUUCCUGUGUAGCGGUGAAAUGCGUAGAUAUAGGAAGGAACACCAGUGGCGAAGGCGACCACCUGGGCUCAUACUGACACUGAGGUGCGAAAGCGUGGGGAGCAAACAGG